rnacentral:misc_RNA from 1 species
CUUCCAGCUUUGCUGUAUAACCUGCCAAUGUUAUCAAAUCAAAAAUCAGUAUCACAAAUUGUUUCAUAUAAAGUGCAGAGAUUCAUCGUUCAGAAAUAGAAUUUUCUACAAGUCAAAAUGUGGGAUUACAAGUGGAUAUCAAAUAAUUGGGCAUACAGUAGAUUAAAUGGUUCAGAUGUAAAAGCAUGAUUUAAUUUUAAUGCUUAAAAUUACAAUCUAAAAAACUAUCCAAAAAGGUCCUAUGAAUACGAUUAUAGUUUCAGUAUCCUGUGAUCCAGAUAAAAAGUUCUUCAAGUCAUUUGCACUUCCCAGUAAUCGAAUCCUUGAAAAGCUUUUACUAACUGUACAAAACAAUUAACUGAAGAUUGUGUCUGGUAAUGCUUCAAUUGCAAAGUGAUUGACAAAUUAUUAGUUAGGACUGGCAAAAUGAGCUGGGAGUCCAGUCAGAUGACUAACCAAUAGAAAAAAGGCUGGCUGACUAAUUGUCAGUGCGCAGUGUAUAGGCAAUCUUGGGCAAAAACAUCACCCGCCUUUUGCAUUUGUUAACUUUUGUGCAAAUUGUUUGUAAGGAUACCCACAAAAAUCCAACACAUUGCUUGUAACUUAAUUUCUUUAUCUUUUGAAAGACCAAAAGUUAAGGAAAUUUAUUAGUACAGUAUUAGUUUGGCAUAGUUUCAUCUUUUACCUGGUUUUUCUUCUUUCCAUUCAGUGUAUGUGAUCCAGAUAACCAGAUGAUGAAAAUUAUGUUAAAUUAAAGAUUAAUUUACUCUUCAGCCAUGUAUCUUUAGCCAUGUAUAGAAGAAAAGAAGAGAAAGAGAACAAGCUGACCUCAUUU